AACCCCGCAAACCCCGCGCAGCCAGCGGGGCGGGCUUAUGUAAAGCAGGGCCGGCGGAGAGCCAAUGGUAUUGAAGGAUGCUAAUUAUCUCUUAAAAAAAAAUUCCUCAGCUCCACGCAGCCCCGCCCCUCACACGCCCCCCGGCCCGUGACCAAAGGCUACAGGAAGUGGGGAGCAGAGUGCCUUGGAACCGGGGGUCCCGUGGGAGCGUAGAGACGCAGAAGCUGCCCCUCAGGCUUCGGCUUUGAUACCAGAAAAGAAGAAUGUUUGCCCCAAAGUGGAAGGAAAUAAACCAGGCAAGCAGAGGGAUCAGGGCAAUGGACAUCACUGAAAGGCUGUCUCUGGACAUCAGACAUCUGCCGCCAGGGCCUACUAACUAGACUCCCUCCUUCAAAUGCCUGGGGUUGCACUGUGGGUAAGGCUUAUGUCACACUUUGCUGUUCUGGUGGGUAUGCUUCCAGACAGCUCAGCUUUGAAAGGGGUAAAUUUGCACAGAGGAGAGGUGUUUUUUUGUUUGUUUUUUACUAAAGAAGGAUAUACAUGCAUGAUUUAGUUGAAUUUUAUGUCAAAUAGCAUUGUCUUAUUUGUACUCACCCACCAGGGCAAAAACCAUCUCUUAUUCACCUGGGGAUCACUAGUUCCCACUCUCUCUGCCUGGAGUAGGGGACUCUCCCCAUCAGGCUUCCUCUGAAUUUCCAGCUUAAAAGUGCCCCCCUACCGGAAGGUAGCCCCAAUCCUUCAUGUUAAAAACAAUUAAAAAAUUCAACUGAGUAAAUUUUAAA